CAAAUUCAACAAAACUGAUCAACAUAAGAAACCUAGAUUUCAAUUUCAAAAUUGUAUUCAUACUAGCCCUAAUGGCCGUUAGUAACUUCUACUCCUAAAUUUCACAUAAGAAACCUAAAAUUGUAGACUGAUUUCAUGUUACAGACAACACAAAACCAUUUUACUCGAUUUCAGGAAUAUGUAACUUCUUCACAAUCGACAAAUAUUUCAAAUUCAACAAAACUGAUCAAAGACUACAUUAACAUUCAAUCGAACACUUAUAAGUCACAAACGGAUCAACCAAUAAACAUAAUUAACAUUCAUGAACAAUAAUCACAUAAUAAACGACGAAAUCCUUACAAGAAGGCGGAUCACUUCGGGCUGAUUCAAACCAUCGCUCAGUUUCUUCAGCCUUAAUUUUCUCAGCAACCAAAUAAGGGUUCACGAUAUGACAAUGAGGGUGAAACCAGAUCAAUAACCUUCACCCCUCUUCGAAGCCAAAUUCGAACACAUACAAUCUUAAGGGAGUUUGGUUGGUGAGAAAACAAACAGAGAUUGUGAAAAAAAAUUGGGAUCUAUAAAAAGCAUCGGGAAAAAAAAAUUGGAAAUCUCACGAAGCGUUGUGUGAGGGACGAUCUUAUCAAGUUUAGUUUUCUUCUUCAAUGCCAUUUUUACCCGUAGCCCCCUCUCUCUCUCUCUAACUCGAAUGCUUCCAUUGUCGAUUUCUCUCUCUGGCUUCUUCUCUUCUCUUCUAUACUCAAAAACUAGGAAGACCACAAAAUAACAGAAUGUAAAUUGAGGUACUAUUAAUGUUAAUUAAUACUCCAUCAUUGGGAAAAAUAGAAAUCUCACAAAGGAUUGCGCUAGGAACGAUCUUAAGAAGUUUGGACUUCUUCUUCAAGACCACGAUCUUACCCGUAGCCCACUCUCUCUCUAGCUUCUCGAAUGCUUCCAUGUUGAUUUCUCUAUGGGCUUCUCUGCUUCAAGUCUCUGUGUAUAAA
rnacentral:lncRNA from 1 species